rnacentral:tRNA from 1 species
GCCCAUGUAGUACAAGUAAGUACGCCAGC